rnacentral:rRNA from 1 species
CAAAAACAUCUCUUCUUGUUGGUUUUUGAAGUAUGGCCUGCCCACUGACAAUUUGAGUUGAAUGGCCGCGGUAUUUUGACCGUGCAAAGGUAGCAUAAUCAUUAGUUCUUUAAUUGUGAUCUGGUAUGAAUGGCUUGACGAGACAUGAGCUGUCUUAUAGGUAUUGUUUUGUUGAAUUUAGUUUUUAAGUUAAAAUUCUUAGAUGUUUUUAUGGGACGAGAAGACCCUAUAGAGUUUAACAUUUAUUAUUGGCUAUGUUUAUGUUGUUUGUAUUAUGUUUUUGAGCUUUUUAAAUGUUUUGUUGGGGUGAUGGGAGGAAUUUUUUUAACUCCUCUUUUCUUAUUAUAUAUUUAUUUAUAUUUGUUGAUCCAUUUAUUUUGAUUAAAAAAUUAAAUUACCUU